ensembl:lncRNA
CGGCUCUCCAAUUAAAACUAAAAGGAAAAAAAAAAAAAAGAAAGGAAAAAAAAAAAAGGGAGGAGAAGGGAAGAAAGGAAGCUUUCUGCAUACUAAACACUCUCUGUUCUUCAAUGUGGGCACAAGGAUAUUUCUAGCUGUUCCCCAGGAAUGGUGAGGUAGAAUUGAAGCCGGACAGCAGGAGUGGAGGCUCUGAAGGCAGUGGGCGAGCCUUUGGUUUACCCCUGGGUGCCACCAACAGCAAGCAAGAGGCUCCCCUGAGCUGGACCCCUGGGCGAGGCUGAGCCAAGGGUACCCACUGCAACAACACAAGUCCAAGAGGAGAGAUCCCAGAACAAAGUUAGAAUGGGUGCAAAGUAAAAGAAAGGACAGAAAUCACAGAGCAGAGACUUGUGCUAAUGUACACAGCACAGGCAAAUGGACUAAAGGAUGUUUGCUGCAAUUAUCGUUGGUGGACAUAAGAGUUACAGAGUGGCUGAACAGAAUUCUCCUGCUUAACAGAGGAAGAGAUGAUUUCAUUACGAAAAAAUACAUAUGACAGAAGUGCAGAGGAUUUCAGAGGGAAGGAAGUGAAGACUGAUGUGACCAUUAAUUCGUUCUCUGGACUGGUCAGAUCGUCAAUAACCUAACCCCACCUUGUGGUUGUUCUGGAGUCGUUUGCUUGCUUUGCUCAUUAGGCUGCAAACUCUUGCUGAAGAACAGCCAACUAUUGAUUAAGGCUCAUGACAAAAGGAAAGAUAUAAAAAACAAAACCGAGGAGUGUCAUUCUGGCAUGUACUGAAGGAGUCCACAUGGGUGGAAAAGGAAAGAUAAUGUCAAGUUCCAGACAACUUGAAAGCUGGGUUUACUGAGCCGAGUGGUGAGAACACUCACAUUUUAGGUCAACCGUGGUAAAUUUGUUAUAGCAUCAGCCCAGUCACACCUGGAGAAAAAUUAGUGUCUCAUUAUUUAUUCAGAGCAUCCCCAUUUUUUCAGAAGUUGUAUUAUUAGAAACACGCGUUCCAAAGAUGCAGGCUUUCAGGUAACUGUGAUUUACAGUUAUCACUAUGCAUGUUUCCAGUUAACAGCAGGUUCUCUUGCUAAAAAGCACACAUACAGCGCUGCACUUAGUUAAUAAGAAAUGGAAUAAAAAAUGGAUGAAAAUGAUCUCUUUUUAAGACACAUGUCUGUUUUCCCUGCUUUUGUGAAAUCAAAGCAUCAAAGAAAGAAAUCUUCUUUUCAGUGACUCACUGGCAACCUAUUAGCAUAUUUGCCUAUGUCCCUGUCAGCCACUCUUACAUCAACACUUUCACAAAAGCUACCUACUGCAGACUGGUGUCUGCUCUGGCUAGCUUGCUGGUCACCAUCGUGAUAUAAUCUCCUUCCAAAGCAAU